rnacentral:rRNA from 1 species
AGCGAACGUUAGCGGCGCGCCUAACACAUGCAAGUCGCACGAGAAAGGGAGCAAUCCCCGGUACAGUGGCGCACGGGUGAGUAACACGUAGAUGACCUUCCCUGGAGUGGUGGAUAACCUGCCGAAAGGCGGGCUAAUACAGCAUGGGACCACAUGGUUUUGACCGAGUGGUGAAAGCGGGCCUCUGUUCACAAGCUCGCGCUCUGGGAUGGGUCUGCGUCCCAUCAGCUAGUUGGUGAGGUAAUGGCUCACCAAGGCAUCGACGGGUAGCUGGUCUGAGAGGAUGACCAGCCACACUGGAACUGAGACACGGUCCAGACUCCUACGGGAGGCAGCAGUGGGGAAUCUUGCGCAAUGGGCGAAAGCCUGACGCAGCGACGCCGCGUGGGUGAUGAAGGCCUCGG